ensembl:lncRNA
ACCAAUGCUUGAUAUAAAUUUUGAGAUGAAUUAUAUCACAUAUACACUACUACUUAUACUCUUGGCACUGAGAAUUCUUAUUUAAGUUCUGGGGUACAUGUGUAGGAUGUGCAGGUUUGUUACAUAGGUAAAGUGUGCCAUAGUGAUUUGCUAUACUUCUCAACCCAUGGCCUAGGUACUAAGCCCAGCAUGCAUUAGCUAUUAUUCCUGAUGCUCUCCCCACCCCCUCACCCUUUCCUGAUAAGCCCCAGUGUGUGCUCUUCCCAUCUGUUUGAGUUCUUUGUAAAUUCUGGAUAUCAGCCCUUUGUCAGAUGGGUAUACUGCAAAAAUUUUUUCCCAUUCUGUUGGUUGCCGAUCCACUCUAGUGACUGUUUCUUUUGCCGUGCAGAAGCUGUGGAGUUUCAUUAGGUCCCAUUUGUCUAUUUUGGCUUUUGUUGCCAAUGCUUUUGGUGUUUUGUUCAUGAAGUCCUUGCCUACUCCUAUGUCCUGGAUAGUUUUGCCUAGAUUUUCUUCUAGGGCUUUUAUGGUGCCAGGUCUUAUGUUUAAGUCUUUAAUCCAUCUGGAGUUAAUUUUAGUGUAAGGUGUCAGGAAGGGGUCCAGCUUCUGCUUUCUGCACAUGGCUAGCCAGUUUUCCCAACACCAUUUGUUAAACAUGGAAUCCUUUCCCCAUUGCUUGUUUUUGUCAGGUUUAUCAAAGAUUGUAUAGUUGUAUGUAUGUUGUGUUGCCUCCGGUGCCUCUGUUUUGUUCCAUUGGUCUAUAUCUCUGUUUUGGUACCAAUACCAUGCUGUUUUGAUUAUUGUAGCCUUGUAGUAUAGUUUGAAAUCCGGUAGUGUGAUGCCCCCCGCUGUGUUCUUUUUGCUUAGAAUUGACUUGGCUAUGCGGGCUCUCUUUUGGUUCCAUAUGAAGUUCAUGGUGGUUUUUUCCAGUUCUGUGAAGAAAGUCAGUGGUAGCUUGAUGGGGAUAGCAUUGAUUCUGUAAAUUACUUUGGGCAGUAUAGCCAUUUUCACGAUAUUAAUUCUUCCUAACCAUGAACAUGGAAUGUUUCUCCAUGUGUUUGUGUCCUCUCUGAUUUCGUUGAGCAGUGGUUUGUAGUUCUCCUUGAAGAGGUCUCUUACGUUCCUUGUGAGUUGUAUUCCAAGGUAUUUUAUUCUUUUUGUAGCAAUUGCGAAUGGUAGUUCGCUCUUGAUUUGGCUUUCUUUAAGUCUGUUAUUGGUGUAGACGAAUGCUUGUGAUUUUUGCACAUUGAUUUUAUAUCCUGAGACUUUGCUGAAGUUGCUUAUCAGUUUCAGGAGUUUUUGGGCUGAGGCAAUGGGGUCUUUUAGGUAUACUAUCAUGUCGUCUGCAAAUAGAGACAAUUUGGCUUCCAGCUUUCCUAUUUGAAUACCCUUUAUUUCUUUUUCUUGCGUGAUUGCUCUGGCUAAAACUUCCAGUACUAUAUUGAAUAGGAGUGGUGAAAGAGGGCAUCCUUGUCUAGUGCCAGAUUACAAAGGGAAUGCUUCCAGUUUUUGCCCAUUCAGUAUGAUAUUGGCUGUUGGUUUGUCAUAAAUAGCUUUUAUUACUUUGAGAUAUGUUCCAUCGAUACCGAGUUUAUUGAGGGUUUUUAGCAUAAAGGGCUGUUGAAUUUUGUCAAAUGCCUUCUCUGCGUCAAUUGAGAUAAUCAUGUGGUUUUUGUUUUUGCUUCUGUUUAUGUGGUGAAUUACAUUUAUAGACUUGCGUAUGUUGAACCAGCCUUGCAUCCCCGGGAUGAAUCCUACUUGAUCAUGAUGAAUAAGUUUUUUGAUUUGCUGUUGCAAUCGGCUUGCCAAUAUUUUAUUGAAGAUUUUUGCAUCUAUGUUCAUCAUGGAUAUUGGCCUCAAGUUUUCUUUUCUUGUUGGGUCUCUGCCGGGUUUUGGUAUCAGAAUGAUAUUGGUCUCAUAAAAUGAUUUGGGAAGGAUUCCCUCUUUUUGGAUUGUUUGAAAUAGUUUUAGAAGAAAUGGUGCCAGCUCUUCCUUGUGUGUCUGGUAGAAUUCGGCUGUGAACCCAUCUGGACCUGGGCUUUUUUUGUGUGGUAGGCUCUUAAUUGCUGCCUCAACUUCAGACCUUGUUAUUGGUCUAUUCAUAGUUUCAGCUUCCUCCUGGUUUAGGCUUGGGAGGACACAGGAAUCCAGGAUUUUGUCCAUUUCUUCCAGGUUUACUAGUUUAUGCGCAUAGAGUUGUUUGUAAUAUUCUCUGAUGAUGGUUUGAAUUUCUGUGGAAUCUGUGGUGAUUUCCCCUUUAUCAUUUUUAUUGCAUCUAUUUGGUUGUUCUCUCUUUUAUUUUUAAUCAAUCUGGCUAGUGGUCUGUCUAUUUUGUUGAUCUUUUAAAAAAACCAGCUCUUGGAUUUAUUGAUUUUUUGAAGGGUUUUUCGUGUCUCAAUCUCCUU